rnacentral:rRNA from 1 species
CCUACGGGAGGCAGCAGUGGGGGAUAUUGCACAAUGGGGGAAACCCUGAUGCAGCGACGCCGCGUGGGCGAAGAAGUAUUUCGGUAUGUAAAGCCCUAUCAGCAGGGAAGAAGAAAUGACGGUACCUGAGUAAGAAGCACCGGCUAAAUACGUGCCAGCAGCCGCGGUAAUACGUAUGGUGCAAGCGUUGUCCGGAUUUACUGGGUGUAAAGGGCGUGCAGCCGGGCUGACAAGUCAGAUGUGAAAUCCCGCGGCUCAACCGCGGAACUGCAUUUGAAACUGUCAGUCUUGAGUACCGGAGAGGU